AAACAAUGGAGGAAACACCUCUGCUGCCACUGCUCUUUCUCGCCUCACUGCUGAGCUGCAAUGCACAUCAAGCUCAUCUCACUGUGAGUCCCAGCAGCUCUCAAUUCUUUAAAGGAAGCCUUGUGACUUUGCACUGUGAGGAGGAUGACGGCUCUGCUCACAGCUCGUUCAGUCUCCGGAGAAACAUAAGCAAAAAACUGAUGAUUCAGUGUGGAGCUGACUUUGGAAUAUGGUCUGUUUCUUCCUGUACCAUAAGCUACAUCUACACGUGGGACAGUGGAGUUUACUGGUGUGAGUCCAGAGAGGGUCCCAUCAGUAACAUGGUUAACCUGACAGUCACUGGUGGAUCAGUGAUCCUGCAGAGUCCUGUCCUCCCUGUGAUGGAGGGAGAUGACGUCACUCUG